rnacentral:lncRNA from 1 species
GGCAGUAGAGCUGUUGGAAGUAGAGCUGUCUGAAGUAGAGCUGUUAUAAAAAGCUGUUUGCUGUUUGGUAACUACAUUCGUAAAGUGCUGUAGUAAUUUGUUUUGUAUUUGAUAAACAAACUGAGAAAGUACUUUUGCAUGACAAAAUUACCAUAAAGGACAUUGCAUAGUAUUAUACAACAGAACAUAAUAAAACAUAAAAUAUAUUAAUACAUAAAUAUACGAUAUAGUAUAAUAUUAUUGUAAUAUAAAAUAAUAUUAUUAUAAUAUAGCAUAAUAGUAAUAUAAUUGUUAGAGUAAAUUAAUAUUUGGUAAUAUAACAUAAUAUUAAAUUAUUUAACAUAAUAUAUUAAUGUGUUAUAAUGUAAUGUAAUAUAAUAAAAUAUUUAUAGUAUAAUACAAUAAUAAAGGUAUAAAAUACCUUUUCUUACAGAAGGGAGUCUGACUGCUAGGGUUCUCGGCUCCAGCAUAUUUUUAGGUUUAUAAAGGGACAAACUGUGUAAUUAUUAUAUUUUAAUAUGGGCAUUUUUGUCAAAAAUACAGC